GACAGCAGCCGCCACGGUAAAACGUAGGUCCCGAGCGUUGUCCGGAUUUAUUGGGCGUAAAGCGAGCGCAGGCGGUUAGAUAAGUCUGAAGUUAAAGGCUGUGGCUUAACCAUAGUACGCUUUGGAAACUGUUUAACUUGAGUGCAGAAGGGGAGAGUGGAAUUCCAUGUGUAGCGGUGAAAUGCGUAGAUAUAUGGAGGAACACUGGUGGCGAAAGCGGCUCUCUGGUCUGUAACUGACGCUGAGGCUCGAAAGCGUGGGGAGCGAACAGAAUUAGAUACCCGUGUAGUCCCUGUCUCUUAUACC
rnacentral:rRNA from 1 species